UUUGGAAGUAAAAAUCGUAACAAGGUCUCCGUAGGUGAACCUGCGGAGGGAUCAUUACACAAAUAUGAAGGCGGGCUGGAACCUCUCGGGGUUACAGCCUUGCUGAAUUAUUCACCCUUGUCUUUUGCGUACUUCUUGUUUCCUUGGUGGGUUCGCCCACCACUAGGACAAACAUAAACCUUUUGUAAUUGCAAUCAGCGUCAGUAACAAAUUAAUAAUUACAACUUUCAACAACGGAUCUCUUGGUUCUGGCAUCGAUGAAGAACGCAGCGAAAUGCGAUAAGUAGUGUGAAUUGCAGAAUUCAGUGAAUCAUCGAAUCUUUGAACGCACAUUGCGCCCUUUGGUAUUCCAAAGGGCAUGCCUGUUCGAGCGUCAUUUGUACCCUCAAGCUUUGCUUGGUGUUGGGCGUCUUGUCUCUAGCUUUGCUGGAGACUCGCCUUAAAGUAAUUGGCAGCCGGCCUACUGGUUUCGGAGCGCAGCACAAGUCGCACUCUCUAUCAGCAAAGGUCUAGCAUCCAUUAAGCCUUUUUUUCAACUUUGACCUCGGAUCAGGUAGCUCCCAU
rnacentral:rRNA from 1 species